CAAGGAACCCUAGUUGCAGAAGUAUGCUGGCAUUGUCCCAAAAGCAGGGUGAGAUUAGCUGUGGCCAUCCUGAUUCAUACUGAAGAAUCUGAAAAUUUGCGACUAUCACAAAAGAAUAUCAGAGCAUGUCUCAAGAGUGUUGCCUAACGGGUGACGGAAAGAUAUCUGGCUGGUGGAGUGCAUUUACGAUGAAUGGCAGUAUAUUGGAAGACACGAGUUUGCAUAUCCAAGUCUAUAUCCUGAAUUAUUUGGUGAAGUACAUCUUCCCCUUCUCUCUAUAUCUAGUUUCCAAAAUCCUUGUGGGUUAUUAUUUGUAUUUUAGUUAAUAUUGAAGCCAUUGAUAUUGAAUAUUUUGCUGAAAUCCUAAAUUGACCUGGCAUCUAUAAACUCUUUCAGUAUUUGAGACUA